rnacentral:snoRNA from 1 species
CAGCAGACGUGAUGAGAUCUUCAUGUCUCUUCUCUGAUUAAACAUGAGUGGAGAAUAUAGACUCUGAUCUGAGCCG